AAUAAGAUCAUUUUUUAGUUUUUUGAUACAAUGUUUUGACUCUUCGUCUUAUUUAAAAUUUUUUUGUUAUUAAUAUUUUUAUUCUUACUAGAUGAUAAAACAUGAGUAAUCCUUUAUGCGUGACUAAUUUUUUAAAGUUUUUAUACAAAAUUUUUAAAUAAGACGAAUGAUUAAACGUUGGACACGGAAAAAC
rnacentral:pre_miRNA from 1 species